rnacentral:tRNA from 1 species
GAAGGUAUAGCUCAGUGGUAGAGUGCAUGCCUAGCAAGAAAGCACAAGGUCCUGGGUUCAAUCCCCAGUACCUCCA